GCCACCAUAGCUCAGUCGCAGAGCACUGGUCUUGUAAACCAGGGGUCGUGAGUUCGAUCCUCACUGGUGGCU
rnacentral:tRNA from 1 species